CCUACGGGAGGCAGCAGUGGGGAAUAUUGGACAAUGGGCGAAAGCCUGAUCCAGCCAUGCCGCGUGUGUGAAGAAGGCCUUCGGGUUGUAAAGCACUUUCAGUGGGGAAGAAAGCCUUGGGGCUAAUACCCUCGAGGAAGGACAUCACCCACAGAAGAAGCACCGGCUAACUCCGUGCCAGCAGCCGCGGUAAUACGGAGGGUGCGAGCGUUAAUCGGAAUUACUGGGCGUAAAGCGCGCGUAGGCGGUCUGAUAAGCCGGUUGUGAAAGCCCCGGGCUCAACCUGGGAACGGCAUCCGGAACUGUCAGGCUAGAGUGCAGGAGAGGAAGGUAGAAUUCCCGGUGUAGCGGUGAAAUGCGUAGAGAUCGGGAGGAAUACCAGUGGCGAAGGCGGCCUUCUGGACUGACACUGACGCUGAGGUGCGACAGCGUGGGUAGCAAACAGGAUUAGAUACCCCAGUAGUC
rnacentral:rRNA from 1 species